ACUCAAAGGAAUUGACGGGGGCCCGCACAAGCAGUGGAGUAUGUGGUUUAAUUCGAAGCAACGCGAAGAACCUUACCAGGGCUUGACAUGCAGGUGAAUAGUAUAGAGAUAUGCUAGGCCUUCGGGACACCUGUGCAGGUGGUGCAUGGUUGUCGUCAGCUCGUGUCGUGAGAUGUUGGGUUAAGUCCCGCAACGAGCGCAACCCCUGUUGUUAGUUGCCAUCAUUCAGUUGGGCACUCUAACGAGACUGCCGGUGACAAAUCGGAGGAAGGUGGGGACGACGUCAAAUCAUCAUGCCCCUUAUGUCCUGGGCUACACACGUACUACAAUGGCUAUAACAGCAGGAAGCGAAGGAGCAAUCCGGAGCCAAUCCCAAAAAAUAGUCCCAGUUCGGAUUGUGGGCUGCAACUCGCCCACAUGAAGUCGGAAUUGCUAGUAAUGGCAGGUCAGCAUACUGCCGUGAAUACGUUCCCGGGCCUUGCACACACCGCCCGU
rnacentral:rRNA from 1 species